GAUGAACGCUGGCGGCGUGCCUAAUACAUGCAAGUCGAGCGAACGGACGAGAAGCUUGCUUUUCUGAUGUUAGCGGUGGACGGGUGAGUAACACGUGGAUAACCUACCUAUAAGACCGGGAUAACUUCGGGAAACCGGAGCUAAUACCGGAUAAUAUUUUGAACCGCAUGGUUCAAAAGUGAAAGACGGUCUUGCUGUCACUUAUAGAUGGAUCCGCGCUGCAUUAGCUAGUUGGUAAGGUAACGGCUUACCAAGGCAACGAUGCAUAGCCGACCUGAGAGGGUGAUCGGCCACACUGGAACUGAGACACGGUCCAGACUCCUACGGGAGGCAGCAGUAGGGAAUCUUCCGCAAUGGGCGAAAGCCUGACGGAGCAACGCCGCGUGAGUGAUGAAGGUCUUCGGAUCGUAAAACUCUGUUAUUAGGGAAGAACAUAUGUGUAAGUAACUGUGCACAUCUUGACGGUACCUAAUCAGAAAGCCACGGCUAACUACGUG
rnacentral:rRNA from 1 species